rnacentral:rRNA from 1 species
CUAGGCGAGUAUCCGAAGGCGUUCGGGAGAACCCUCGUGAAGGAACUCGGCAAAAUGACCCCGUACCUUCGUACAAGGGGUGCUCUCCGUAAGGAGAGCCGCAGAGGAUCGGCUCUAGCGACUGUUUAUCAAAAACACAGGACUCUGCCAACUCGCAAGAGGACGUAUAGAGUCUGACGCCUGCUCGGUGUCGGUAGGUUAAGGGAGCCGAUGAGGCAAGCUGAAGUUGGCGACCGAAGCCCCGAUAAACGGCGGCCGUAACUAUGACGGUCCUAAGGUAGCGAAGUUCCUUGUCGGGUAAGUUCCGACCUGCAUGAAUGGCGUAACGACUGGAGCACUGUCUCCACGAGGGACCCGGUGAAACUGUAGCCGUGGUGAAGAUGCCACGUACCCGCGGUCAGACGGAAAGACCCCGUGAACCUUUACUGCAGGUUGGCAUUGGGUCAGCGUCCUUUCUGUGUAGCAUAGGUGGGAGGCCGUGAUCCGGCGGCGCCAGCCGUCGGGGAGCCAUCGGUGAAAUACCACCCUGAAAUGACUCUGAUCCUCACCGGUCCGUAGCCCGGGCCGGGACCAUGCUCAUCGGGCAGUUUGACUGGGGCGGUCUCCUCCCAAAGAGUAACGGAGGAGUGCAAUGGUACCCUCGGCCAGGUCGGCAAUCUGGCAACACGAGCGCAAACGUAGAAGGGUGCCUGACUGCGAGACCCAUCAGUCGAGCAGGGACGAAAGUCGGCGUUAGUGAUCCGGCGGUGCUGGAUGGAAAGGCCGUCGCUCAACAGAUAAAAGGUACUCCGGGGAUAACAGGCUGAUCUCCCCCGAGCGUCCAUAGCGGCGGGGAGGUUUGGCACCUCGAUGUCGGCUCAUCGCAUCCUGGGGCUGGAGAAGGUCCCAAGGGUUUGGCUGUUCGCCAAUGAAAGCGGUACGCGAGCUGGGUUCAGACCGUCGUGAGACAGGUCGGUCCCUAUCUGCCGUGGGCGGAGGAAACUUGCGAAGGGUCUCCCCUAGUACGAGAGGAUUGGGGAGGACCGACCUCUGGUGUACCGGCUGUCCUGCUCAGGGCACCGCCGGGUAGCUAGGUCGGGAAAGGAUAAGCGCUGAAGGCAUCUAAGCGCGAAGCCCUCUUCAAGACGAGGUUUCCAGCACGCAAGUGCGAAGGCUCCUGGAAGACGACCAGGUCGAUAGGCCGGGAGUGCACGGCGAGCGAUCGCCGCAGCCGACCGGUCCUAACAGCCAAUCGCUUGACCAC